AUUGAACGCUGGCGGCAUGCCCUACACAUGCAAGUCGAACGGUAACAGGUUAAGCUGACGAGUGGCGAACGGGUGAGUAAUACAUCGGAACGUGCCCAGUAGUGGGGGAUAGCCCGGCGAAAGCCGGAUUAAUACCGCAUACGACCUAAGGGUGAAAGGGGGGGAUCGCAAGACCUCUCGCUAUUGGAGCGGCCGAUGUCAGAUUAGCUAGUUGGUGGGGUAAAAGCUCACCAAGGCGACGAUCUGUAGCUGGUCUGAGAGGACGACCAGCCACACUGGGACUGAGACACGGCCCAGACUCCUACGGGAGGCAGCAGUGGGGAAUUUUGGACAAUGGGCGCAAGCCUGAUCCAGCCAUGCCGCGUGCGGGAAGAAGGCCUUCGGGUUGUAAACCGCUUUUGUCAGGGAAGAAAUCCUUUGGGUUAAUACCUCGGGGGGAUGACGGUACCUGAAGAAUAAGCACCGGCUAACUACGUG
rnacentral:rRNA from 1 species